GGGGGGGGGGGGGGGGGGGGGGGGGGGGGGGGGGGGGGGGGGGCGAGGGCCCGGCCGUGAGGGAGCGGCCCUCCGCGCUGAGGGUAAACCCUACAUUGUCACGGGAAUUCCCAUGUGCCUAACCUGACCCGCCCCUCAGACGUCUUUCCCUGGCUCAACAGGAACGCAUCAUGCAGAACCAGACUAUUUAGUUGCCUGAUCCCAAGUUGCCAAGGUCCCAGCGCCCAUCCCAUAGACACACGUUAGUAAAACGCGAGAGUCCUGAGAAGGAGACUGAAGUUAAAAGAAGACAGGGCAUAGGACACACUGGUUCCAUGCUGCAAACUGCAGCUCUUCAUUAGUGAUAAUGAGACUGUCUAGAGACCAUCCACAGCAAAGUGGCCUGAACUGAAGAGUGACACUGGGCUGUCAUUUUCAUUGGGAUAUUUACAUAUAAACAGAGAAUCCACGGAGAAUGAAGGCUACCUCUGGGACCAAAGGAACAGAAAUUUUAAGGUAUUUCAGGAGGACACAAAACCGACAGGAAGACAGCUGUGAAGAAUCUGGAAAGAGUAGUACAACCCAUCUCAUUCUUCUGAAAAACACUUACAGAGUUAAAAAUUCUCUCCAGAACGAAAAGCAAUUGUAAUUUUCAUUUUUUUUCCUACUGCUUUAAGUGUUUUAAAUGGUUAUUUUUAGGACCACCUGCUAUGCAUAGCAGGCAUGUCAGGCAUGAAGGAAAACCAGUAUUUGUAGUCAGUCAACAC
rnacentral:lncRNA from 1 species